UCUCUCCUUUUGGUGUUUUCUACUGAGAGCCUUGGAUGUGGGUGCUGUAUUCAUGCACAGCUGCUUUUGAGGGCUGUGUCCAUCUAAGAAAUAUUUCUUAGUGGUGACUGUAGCAGGGAAAUGGCUGUGGGCUGCCUCACACAGUCCCUGCCCUGCCCUGCAUGCCCUGGAGCUCACAGCCAAGCCCCUUUGGCAGCGAUGAUACUGAGCUGCAGAUGUGAUUCUAGAUGCAGCAAUGGGACCAUGUGGGAUGAGGGACUCUUGGUGCCAGCUGGGUUGGAAAGAGAGGCUCUUGCCACAAAUGCUGCAGAAAGAUUUUGGGGUCACUGUGUCAGCUGUACCUGUCAACACACCUCUGUGAAAGUGAUACCAGUACAUUCACAGCUUCAGAGGCAGCCUCAUAAAGUGCUGUGCUCAGCUCAACAAGUUAUAGGUGUUACUGCACGGACUUCUAAUGAGGUGUCUUAUGGAAAUCAGAUACUGAGUUGGACCCACUAUCAGAGCAGUCCAUCGAGGACAGAAAGUGCUGCCCUCCAACUUCAAAUAAACAGCAUCUGCACAACUGCUCAUAUUCACAGAUGAGUCCAUUUUAAACUCAUUCCAAGAAAGCCGAAUUUGAUAGUUUAAGACCUAAUUUAACAUUGUUCCUGAUCAUCUAGCAAUGGAUGUUAAAAGAAGACUGAAAAUGCAUGAUAAUAUUGGCAAGCGAAUGCUGAAAUCUCAUAGACUUUGCAAGACUAGAGAGGGAUCAGAGUAAUAAUUCUUCAGAAGGAUGGCAGGAGAAUUUACAGUCUAUUUUCGUGUCUUGAUAAGAAAGUAAAUAGAUAAUUUACAAAAUGAAGUGUACAGAAAAGAAGAUCCAGACUGCUGUCACACCAUAAUCAAGGUUUAACCUUUAAUAUCACAAUGUAAAAGUUUACCUUGGCAGUAAAGUCAUCAUCAUUAGGUUACACAGUGCAAAGCAACUUGUACAUCUUCAACAUAAGACAUGAGAAAAGAAUGUGUAGAGUCACUGCCAGGUUUCUGAGCAGUAAAUGCCAUGCGGUGCUGCCAGAAGGGCUCCACCAACAUCACAUGUGUUGUAGGCAUACACACUGAGGGCUGGAUAACUGAGAAAGAAUCAGAAAAUUGGGAUAAUUGCUAGCUUUCAUGAGGCACUAUAUUUC